AUACUUAUCUGGCAUGGAGAAUACCACAAUCGAGAAGGUGGCUUCCCCAGGGUGAGGCUUUUCCAUUGCUCCCUUCUGUGGGAUUUAGCCAUGUAAAUUCCCCAUAUCUGGGAAACUCAACUGUAUAAUUUAUGGUUUUAAGCAAAUAAACAGAUCUUUUUUUUUUUUU